rnacentral:rRNA from 1 species
UACAGAGGGGGCGAGCGUUAUUCGGAAUUAUUGGGCGUAAAGGGCGCGUAGGCGGCUUUUCAAGUGACGGGUGAAAUCCCUCGGCUUAACCGAGGAACUGCCUGUCAGACUGUAAGGCUUGAGACCGGGAGAGGUGAGUGGAAUUCCCAGUGUAGCGGUGAAAUGCGUAGAUAUUGGGAGGAACACCAGUGGCGAAGGCGGCUCACUGGACCGGAACUGACGCUGAGGCGCGAAAGCGUGGGGAGCAAACAGG